CAGUUAUCUCAGGAAAAUAUACAAAAACAUUGAGCUAUAGAGAACCUGCAUCCUGAGCUUCGACAGGUAAGAUAUUCCUUUUUCUCCAGCCUAGAAACAAGUCUCUUCGAUUUAGAAUUAUUUAAAUUUCAGCUAAUUAAAUUAAACAUUUGAAUCUCCAGACCUGUUGUUUGAUUAGUUAAUUUAUGCCGUAAUACUGGCUUGUAUAGUGAUGGCUAAUUUUGGCACAACAGAUAUGUGAAGGCAUUUCCCAUGAAGCUUAGCCAGCCUUCCUGAACAUUUAAUUUAAACGUAUUUAAAUAUAAUUAUGGUGUAAGAGAACGCUGGUUCUAAAAAUGAGUAACAACUUUCUGUUACAGCAAUGGAGAUACAAACGCUGGUUCUAAAAAUGAGUAACAACUUUCUGUUACAGCAAUGGAGAUACAAACUGAUGAAAUUAAUAUUAUUAUUUCAGGCAAUUCGGACAUUCGGGUACUUCCGAGUGUCCGGAUAGAUGAAUUGCCGAAUUGCCGAAUGGUUGAAGUCCAGAAAUUCUGAAAUUCCCUAAUUUCCGAAGUGUCGAAUUGCCGAAGUUCCGAAGUGCUGAAGUUCCGAAGUUGCCG